rnacentral:lncRNA from 1 species
ACACACUAAAGAAUAUUUAAUAAUGGUUUUAAUUUUAUGAAGUGUUGUUACAACUUCAUAAGUGUUAAAAAAUAUUAAUUAUUUAUAGGAGAGAUUAAUCUUUAUACACUAUAAAGAGAUUAAAUCAUAUUCUAUUUUUUACAUGCAAAGAGGGAAAAAAAUAUGGCUGAGAUUCACAAGUUUAUUUAUGUUGUGAUUCUAUUUCUUUCUUUAUUUCUUGUCACAGCGGAAUUUGAUGUUGGUAAGCCAUUGUUUCAUCCUUCUGAAAUUUCCUUAUUUACUUCGUAGUUCGUGCACAAUCUUUUAUCAUGUUCAGUUUUACUAAAAUAUUAUGUAUUGUCUUUUUUCAUUACACAGAUUAUUUUGAACCACCUUGUCAAA